GCAGAGUCAUUUAAUGAGAUAUUCUUAAAAUAUAUAGUAAAAUCUGUGCACUCAUAAAUGAGCAUUCUGUCAUAAUUUACCCACCCUUUACGUCUUCCAACCAUGUUCAAAUCACAAAAAGAUUUGUAGAAUGUUUGAACCCUGUAGCCAUUGACUUUCAGUUUUUUAUUCAUCUAUGGAAGUCGAUCCCAUCGUUCUUCAAAAUAUCUUACUUUAUGAUCAAUACAGAAAAAGGAACUCAAAGGUUGCAAACACUUGAGUUUUUACUUUGGGGUGAACAACCCCUUUCACAUUGUAACUGUAAAUAUAAGUUCUUGAUGACUUGUGAGUUAUGUUUGGUUUAUGGGGGUAUAUUGUCUGUUUUUUAGCGGUGUGUUCCAUGCCUUGUUUGAAUGGGGGCAGGUGUAUCCGACCCAACCGGUGUCACUGCAGUCCAGGAUGGGGAGGGUAUGACUGCUCUAGAAAAAGAAAAUCUGCAUACUUUCAUUUUUAACGUGCCACUCUACAAGGGUUUUGGAACAAGAUGGUUUCAUGUCAGAUUAUUGUACACAACACGUUGUUUUCUUUCCCUCAGAAAGUCCUAAGUGUUUUUGUAAAUUAAAGCUGUAUUUUUUCAUGUAGAAAAAGAAACAGUAUUAAAUAUAUGCUGCUGCUAUAUACAUGAACUUGUACGAUGUGUAAAAAUGUUGAUUGUGAUUGUCCAUUGUACAUGUAUAUAAACUGUUCUUCUCAUGUUUUUAUUAAAACUGAAAAUACAACUAUAUAAAAAAUGUAAUUCUCAUUCCCACAAUUAAUGAUGAAGAAUUCUUAAUUAAACUUUCAGUUUGUUUUA